rnacentral:rRNA from 1 species
CAGUAGCCGCGGUAAAACGUAGGUGGCAAGCGUUGUCCGGAAUUAUUGGGCGUAAAGGGUUCGCAGGCGGUUUCUUAAGUCUGAUGUGAAAGCCCCCGGCUCAACCGGGGAGGGUCAUUGGAAACUGGGAAACUUGAGUGCAGAAGAGGAGAGUGGAAUUCCACGUGUAGCGGUGAAAUGCGUAGAGAUGUGGAGGAACACCAGUGGCGAAGGCGACUCUCUGGUCUGUAACUGACGCUGAGGAGCGAAAGCGUGGGGAGCGAACAGGAUUAGAUACCCGUGUAGUCCCUGUCUCUUAUAU